AUUGAGUUCAACUUAAUCAGUCAUGCCUCUGUAAUGAAACCCCUAUUAAAGCUGUGGCCAGCAAAGCAGCUCAGGGAGAAGAUGCCUGGAAUCUGCCUUGUAUUUGGACUCUUCCCAGACCUGUGCAUCUCUCCCUUCAGCACGUUCUGAUUUGUACAGGUGAGAGAGCUCCUGUUUGCCACUCUUCUACUUUAUCAAUAUGCUCUAAGAAUCACUAAGCUGACGUUUUCUGAAAAUUAUACAAAUAUCUUAGCCACAAGACAGGCAGUAAAUUCUUCAAAGAGGGAGUUGGUUUCCCAUUAGAAUUUAAGAGGCAUGUUUGAGUUAUUUUAUCAAUAAAGGGAUAAAAACAGG